CGCCCCCUUACUAGUCACAUAUCAAAUCCUGGCUUGUCCCCUUGCUAGUCACGUAUCAAAUCCUGGCCGACCCCUUACUAGUCCCAUAUGAAAUCCUGGCUGACCCCUUACUAGUCACAUAUUGAAUCCUGGCUGACCCCUUACUAGUCACACAUCGAAUCCUGGCUCACCCCUCACUAGGCACAUAUCCUUGGGCCUGUCACUUACCCUCUUUGAGCCUCCAAGUCCCGUCCACUAAACGGAGCUUAACUUAGCAGGAAUUUCAUCCGAUGAGAUAAUGUAUCCAGGACACAGUAAAUACACAGUUACCUUUUCCUUCCCACCCCACCAACAUGUACAGAUAGCACUGAAUUGCCCAGGCCCUCUCAUGACCUAAGAUACCACAUGCAGGCCACACAGCAGCUGGACUGUGCAGCCAGGGCCCAGGGCUACCCCAACUGACCUCCACUCCCCUCAGCACCCUCCUCUGGCCUCCGAGCUAGCCAGCUGCUGAUCCAAAGCUCUGGAUCCUUUAGGGCUGUGCAAAGAUGUGACAGGCAUGGGUAUGAGGCUGUGGGGGACUCUGUGUGUAAACUGAUGUUUCUUUGUAUAGCAUUUGAUAUUCGGUGUGGGUAUGAGGUUGUGGGGGGCUCUGUGUGUAAACUGAUGUUUC
rnacentral:lncRNA from 10 species